rnacentral:rRNA from 1 species
GAUGAACGCUGGCGGCGUGCCUAAUACAUGCAAGUCGAGCGAACGGACGAGAAGCUUGCUUCUCUGAUGUUAGCGGCGGACGGGUGAGUAACACGUGGAUAACCUACCUAUAAAACUGGGAUAACUUCGGGAAACCGGAGCUAAUACCGGAUGAUAUUUUGAACCGCAUGGUUCAAAAGUGAAAGACGGUCUUGCUGUCACUUAUAGAUGGAUCCGCGCUGCAUUAGCUAGUUGGUAAGGUAACGGCUUACCAAGGCAACGAUGCAUAGCCGACCGGAGAGGGUGAUCGGCCACACUGGAACUGAGACACGGUCCAGACUCCUACGGGAGGCAGCAGUAGGGAAUCUUCCGCAAUGGGCGAAAGCCUGACGGAGCAACGCCGCGUGAGUGAUGAAGGUCUUCGGAUCGUAAAACUCUGUUAUUAGGGAAGAACAUAUGUGUAAGUAACUGUGCACAUCUUGACGGUACCUAAUCAGAAAGCCACGGCUAACUACGUG